UUAUUGGGGUCUUUGUUUCUUGUGUUCUUAAAUCAAAAACACAUUAUGUCGCUUAUCUCCCAGGCAUCGUUUUGCUUAUUUCAGGGUUGGUUGCCUUGAUGAAAUAACCUUAAGAUCAUUAGUGUUGUUGUUAAGGGCGUAGCUCGUUUGGCAUCUGGUCUUAUAAUAGUGCUUUUAAUCUGCUUCCUUCAACAUUGCUUCUCCUUCAACGGAAAAACAAGGAAAUUGCAAAAAUUAGUGAUCUUCUUCCUUUUCAAGGGUGUUCCUGUGAGUAAGCCAUUUGUCUCACUUGUUUAAUAACCAGACCCGGUGAACUGUUUUCCCUUAUCUG